rnacentral:RNase_P_RNA from 2 species
GGAGUCGGCCGAAUAGUCGCUGUCGUGCCGCUGAUUGGCGUCACGGGAGAGGAAAGUCCGGGCUCUAUAGGACAGGAUGCCAGGUAACACCUGGGAGGCGUGAGCCUACGGAAAGUGCCACAGAAAACAAACCGCCCGAGAGACCUUUCGGGUAAGGGUGAAAAGGUGCGGUAAGAGCGCACCGCGCCGCUGGCAACAGCGGUGGCAGGGUAAACCCCAUCCAGAGCAAGACCAAAUAGGGGAACAGUCGGCUUUAGCCGCAGCGUGUGGUCCGCACGGUUCCCGGGUAGGUUGCUAGAGGUCUGUGGUGACGCAGAUCCCAGAUGAAUGACUAUUCGCGACAGAACCCGGCUUAUAGGUUGACUCCCACA